GCAGCCGAGCCGAGCCGUACCAACACCGUGCAGGGGAACACAGGGGAACAUCCAUCCCCUCCUGCCGGCGUCGCGUCCACCCCCCCCGGGGCGGCCGGGGGUUACGGGGAGGAAUUAGGGAGAAGCCACAGGCUCCGGGAAGCCUACCGCUGCAUGAUGCUCUCCGCUCGGGCUGCGGCGAGCUUUAGCAGCGUCAUUUACUUUCUCCUGCAGGCUGGCACCAGAGACAGGAAUAAAAAACAGAUCAUCUCCAUCUUCAAGGCAGCGCCUUCAUCGCCGGCGAAGAAAAACAGCCAAAAGAGCCCAGGCAGCAUCCGGCGGGGGAGCGAGGAGCGGGCGAAAGCCUCCCGAAACGCCGCCCCAUGCGCCCCGCUCCGGACACCGGCGGAGGAAGGGACCCCCCCGCCGGAGCCGCCUGGGGAUAAAAAUUAAAAAGCAACAAGAAAAAAAGAAAAAAUAAAUAAAAAUAAAA